AUUUAAAGAAUGCUCAGGAGCUUUUACAAUCUCCUCUCUUUCUUUUCUCCUGAAGUUGCCUGAAACAUCUAGAGAAAAACCCCCCAGGAGCGAAUGAUGCUGCAGCCACCAACAGCUCCAUCCCAUGGAGAAGGUGUCCUGAGAAGCAUGACCCAGGAUCCUCAGGGCUUGCUGAGCACUCUGGGAUCAGUGGCAGGAGGAAGGUGAGCUUUGAGGACACUGGGUGCAUUUGGACACCUCCAAGGCUACUGCAGGGAUCAAAGAAUUAAACCCUGGCAUGGUGUCAAAGAAGAUGAAAACACCUUCAGGCCUCCAGAAAGGAGAAGGAUGUGGGAGGUGAGUGACUAUUUUGAAAUGGAGUGGCAGUGCUGACUGUUCUGGGAGAGACCACAGAGGACCAGCAGGGUUUGACAGCAGACUGGGCAAAACUGCAAUAAGGAGUGUUCUGCCUCAGCAAGUGCUUGUACUAAGAAGCAAAUAGAGACGUUUCC
rnacentral:lncRNA from 12 species